GUGGACGUUCAGGGAGGCAGUGAGGACGACCAAGCCCUGCUAACACGGUUUCGGGAGGACUGGUGACGGGAGUGAUGCUGGAGGAAGCCUGGAGGGUGGUCCCUCCUGGGGCUGGACCUCCUGAGCAGAAACCAGACAUGCACUGGAUACAAAUGAGGCAGCACAACUGCCUUCAUAAAUCGCAGCCUGUAGGCCUUUUAAUGUGUUCGUGGAAGCCGGCCGUUAACCGUAUUUAAUUGCUCUCUACAGCAAGUUCCAUAGAUCAUGACCACAGCAGCCAUUUUUCAGAGGUCCUCGUUAGCGCAGAUGAGGGAACACGCUGAAUGGCGUGCAGGACCCGGAGGAGAGGGGGGCUGGCACAUGGGCCCCAGGCCGGCGGGGAGCCCUCUGUUGUUUCCCCCAGCACAGUCAAGAAAUCCAUGUGCGGGGCUGCGCCCUUCCCUUUGGAGGGAACACCGGAGAGGCCGGUCACUGUCCCCCUUGAGGCCUGCUGUCCCGCCCCCUCCUCCAGCUCCGCACAUGGUCCCCUCACACCUGAAGCUGAGGCCUUUGAUGCCUGUCUGGGAAGGAAACGGCCUGGCAGGGACCACUGUCCACAUCCAAAGAGUCUGGAAGUAGCAGAUCACAGCGGACACUCACAUGGACACCCAUCCACUCAGCAGGUGCCCAGUCCCGGGCGCUGUGGGGAUUAUCCUUCUCUGUCCCAGAAACACCCUGAGUUGUGCAGGCACCUGCCCUGGGCUGGGGUCUUGGGGGUUGCAGUUGGAUAUAGAUCAACCUUUAUAUUCAAUUCCUGCUCAAAAUUUCCAGAGUGCAGACGGUGUGAACUGAGGCUUCACACAGGAGGUACACCUGGGGUCCAGAGCUGGCAUCAGUUAUUGCUCUGUGUUCCUGGAGGGCCAAGCAAGGCAAGUCUCUACACAGACAUGGUAGCUCCCUCCCUGUUCCUGGGUUUGUAAAGCUGCUCCCCUGAUCCUCAUGGCACACAGCAUCCACAAGCUCCCCGGGCAUCCUUAGGCAGCGGUCAGUUUCCCAACCCUAAAGAUGUCUUUAUGGUCUCGAUAACUUCAUAGCUGCUUGGUUUCAACCUCUAUUUAUGCUCUAUCUUUCAGCUUCCCCUUCUUCUCGGCCACCUGGAAACAGACAUUUUUCAUGCUUUUUAAGUACACCUAUAGCAUUGCAGAAUUAUCCAGCAUCCCUUUGCGUCUGGAGCAUAGAUCUGUGGAUGAGAGAGAGUGAGUUAUACCCUGCCCUAUUCACCUUCACACAAAUCCACCCCCACUGUACAACAUGGACCUUGGGGGAAAGCGUAGGACAGCUGCGGGGCCAGCGAGGGUCACGUUUCAUCAUGUCAUUCCCUGGUGCUCAGAGCUGAA
rnacentral:lncRNA from 1 species